rnacentral:rRNA from 1 species
AACGUAGGAGGCAAGCGUUAUCCGGAUUUACUGGGCGUAAAGCGCGUGCAGGCGGCGGGGCAAGUUGGCUGUGAAAGCUCCCGGCUUAACUGGGAGAGGUCGGUCAAAACUGCCUGGCUGGAGAGUGGUAGAGGGAGAUGGAAUUCCGGGUGUAGUGGUGAAAUGCGUAGAUAUCCGGAGGAACACCAGUGGCGAAAGCGAUCUCCUGGACCAUAUCUGACGCUCAGACGCGAAAGCUAGGGGAGCGAAC